rnacentral:miRNA from 7 species
AGGCCAUCUAGUCCAACUUCCCUGCAAUGAACA